GACGACAGUUGAGCAUUGAUGGUGAGACAAUUGAGGUCUUUGAAGCCACUGCUUGAAACUCAAAUGGCAAUCCAAGUUCCUCUGCCAGCUUUUCAAGCCUUUGUCCUAUGAUGCUCAUGCCACCAAUGGAGCGCUGCACAGUCUCAGGAUCAUCCACCCCAGUUAAUCUCACAUGAUGUGGUCUACCUGGCAUUGAUGCAAGUGUUUGUAUUAGAGUUAUGUACUGAGUUCCUUGGCUGAUGUCAAAGUCUAUUAUGUGAACCUUCUUUUCA
rnacentral:lncRNA from 1 species